rnacentral:rRNA from 1 species
AUUGAACGCUGGCGGCAGGCCUAACACAUGCAAGUCGAGCGGAUGACGGGAGCUUGCUCCUUGAUUCAGCGGCGGACGGGUGAGUAAUGCCUAGGAAUCUGCCUGGUAGUGGGGGACAACGUUUCGAAAGGAACGCUAAUACCGCAUACGUCCUACGGGAGAAAGCAGGGGACCUUCGGGCCUUGCGCUAUCAGAUGAGCCUAGGUCGGAUUAGCUAGUUGGUGGGGUAAUGGCUCACCAAGGCGACGAUCCGUAACUGGUCUGAGAGGAUGAUCAGUCACACUGGAACUGAGACACGGUCCAGACUCCUACGGGAGGCAGCAGUGGGGAAUCUUGGACAAUGGGGGAAACCCUGAUCCAGCGAUGCCGCGUGUGUGAAGAAGGCCUUCGGGUUGUAAAGCACUUUAGUUGGGGAAGAAAAGUAAUAAGUAAAUAAUUUAUUGCUCUGACGGUACCCAAAGAAUAAGCACCGGCUAACUCUGUGCCAGCCGCCGCGGUAA